CUAAUACUCCCUCCGUCCGAAAAUACUUGUCGAAAAAUAGAUAAAAAUGGAUGUAUCUAGAACUAAGAUAUGUCUAGAUGCAUCCAUUCCUCCGACAAGUAUUUCCGGACGGAGGGAGUAUAUC
rfam:Triticum aestivum genome assembly, contig: Triticum_aestivum_CS42_TGACv1_scaffold_346208_4DL